GUUCACCUUUGUCAUAGGUUGAUAUAGGAGUCAUCUCAUCCAGAUUAUGAUCUUCAAUAUCGGAACCCAUGUGGUCCCUUGGAUCACAUUCACCACAAGAUGAAUUAACUGUAAUCACACUUUCAGAAGCUGAAGCGUAAGCCAAUAGUUUCGGUUCACCUUUACUUCUGCUUCCCUCUGACUUUCCCUUCAAUUUACAGACAAGGAAAUUUCCCUGUGGAAUGAGUUCAUACUCGUGCAUGAUCCAUUUAGUCCUGAUCCGUUUCGAAUGUUCUUUUUUAUAGAAAACCAAAGACCUCUUUGUGCCGAUAGGCUUCUUUGAACAAACACCUUUCACUUUGCGCAGCUUACCGGUGGGUUUCCAAUACCCAGCCUUGGUAGUCCUGUUGGACCGCCGGCUACUUGCAUACUUAUAAUCACGGGGACAAAAGAAAU
rnacentral:misc_RNA from 1 species